GACGAACGCUGGCGGCGUGCUUAACACAUGCAAGUCGAGCGGAAAGGCCCUGCGUUUGUUGGGUGCUCGAGUGGCGAACGGGUGAGUAACACGUGAGUAACCCGCCCUUGACAUUGGGAUAAAUUCAGGAAACUGGGGCUAAUAUCGGAGAGGAGCUCCUGCUGCGUGGUGGGGGAUGGAAAGUGACGGCGGUUGGGGCUGGACUCGCGGGUUACCGGCUUGUUGGUGGGGUAGGGGCGUUCCAAGGCUUUGACGGGUAGCCGGCCUGGGAGGGUGACCGGGGACCUUGGGCCUGCGAGACGGACCAGAAGCCUACGGGAGGCAGCAGUGGGGAACAUUGCACAAUGGGCGGAAGUCUGAUGCAGCAACGUCGCGUGCGGGAUGAUGGCUUUCGGGUGGUGAACCGAUUUCGCAUGUGACGAGGCGUGCGUGACGGUACUGGGUCAAGAAGCACCGGCUAACUACGUG
rnacentral:rRNA from 1 species